GACGAACGCUGGCGGCGUGCUUAACACAUGCAAGUCGAGCGAUGAAGCUUCCUUCGGGAAGUGGAUUAGCGGCGGACGGGUGAGUAACACGUGGGUAACCUGCCUCAAAGUGGGGGAUAGCCUUCCGAAAGGGAGAUUAAUACCGCAUAAUAUGAGAAAAUCGCAUGAUUUUCUUAUCAAAGAUUUAUUGCUUUGAGAUGGACCCGCGGCGCAUUAGCUAGUUGGUAAGGUAACGGCUUACCAAGGCAACGAUGCGUAGCCGACCUGAGAGGGUGAUCGGCCACAUUGGAACUGAGACACGGUCCAGACUCCUACGGGAGGCAGCAGUGGGGAAUAUUGCGCAAUGGGGGAAACCCUGACGCAGCAACGCCGCGUGGGUGAUGAAGGUCUUCGGAUUGUAAAGCCCUGUUUUCUGGGACGAUAAUGACGGUACCAGAGGAGGAAGCCACGGCUAACUACGUGC
rnacentral:rRNA from 3 species